rnacentral:rRNA from 1 species
GACGAACGCUGGCGGCGUGCCUAAUACAUGCAAGUCGAGCGCAGGAAGCCGACGGAACCCUUCGGGGGGAAGUCGACGGAAUGAGCGGCGGACGGGUGAGUAACACGUAAAGAACCUGCCCUCAGGUCUGGGAUAACCACGAGAAAUCGGGGCUAAUACCGGAUGGGUCAUCGGACCGCAUGGUCCGAGGAUGAAAGGCGCUCCGGCGUCGCCUGGGGAUGGCUUUGCGGUGCAUUAGCUAGUUGGUGGGGUAAUGGCCCACCAAGGCGACGAUGCAUAGCCGACCUGAGAGGGUGAUCGGCCACACUGGGAAUGAGACACGGCCCAGACUCCUACGGGAGGCAGCAGUAGGGAAUCUUCCACAAUGGACGAAAGUCUGAUGGAGCAACGCCGCGUGAACGAUGAAGGCCUUCGGGUCGUAAAGUUCUGUUGUAAGGGAAGAACAAGUGCCGCAGGCAAUGGCGGCACCUUGACGGUACCUUGCGAGAAAGCCACGGCUAACUACGUGCCAGCCGCCGCGGUAAAAC